CCUUGCAUUUGCUCUUCUUCUUUUCCAGUAGCAAGUACCGAAAAAUGUCGAAGUCUUUCUCCUCCAGUCCGGCCAUCAGGUCAGAUGUGUGUAUCAAUUGUUUUCCCCUCGCGUGGUACUUAUCCCGAGUUACGUGCUAUCAAGAAUUUCGAAGGAUGACAGGUAAGCAAUUUCUUAGAUGUGACACAGAUAAGACAAAUAAUAAAAAUUAGAAAUAAUUAGUGUUGGACAGGACAAACUGUUUCCGAACAACGAGAGAGAAUAGAAGGCGGGUCCUCCAGAAUAGACAAGAUAUAUGGUGAAAAAAAGAAGAAAGAAAGAGAUAUACUUUUCAUCCCUCAAGGCCAAGUUAAUUUUGGCCCUUAUUUUUCAGAUAUUUUUCUUUAUUUAUUGGGAUUUUUUUUCUUUCAAGAAUGCGAACCAGCGGGUGCAUCAUCAAAUUAAGAAAAAGAAAGGGCAGAAGGCCAGUUACAACACCGUUACAACG
rnacentral:lncRNA from 1 species